rnacentral:rRNA from 1 species
AACGAACGCUGGCGGCAUGCCUAACACAUGCAAGUCGAACGAGAUCUUCGGAUCUAGUGGCGCACGGGUGCGUAACACGUGGGAAUCUGCCCUUUGGUUCGGAAUAACUCAGGGAAACUUGAGCUAAUACCGGAUGAUGACGUAAGUCCAAAGAUUUAUCGCCAAAGGAUGAGCCCGCGUAGGAUUAGCUAGUUGGUGAGGUAAAGGCUCACCAAGGCUACGAUCCUUAGCUGGUCUGAGAGGAUGAUCAGCCACACUGGGACUGAGACACGGCCCAGACUCCUACGGGAGGCAGCAGUGGGGAAUAUUGGACAAUGGGGGAAACCCUGAUCCAGCAAUGCCGCGUGAGCGAUGAAGGCCUUAGGGUUGUAAAGCUCUUUUACCCGGGAUGAUAAUGACAGUACCGGGAGAAUAAGCCCCGGCUAACUCCGUGCCAGCAGCCGCCGUAA